rnacentral:rRNA from 1 species
AUGGCCAAUUUUUUCUGGAGCAGCUCUAUUGACAAAAAUGCGUUGCAUUGGGUUUCCUGGAAGAAGCUGGCUACCCCAAAGUGCCAAGGUGGUAUGGGGUUUCGUGACCCUCAUCAGUUCAAUCUUGCGCUGCUCGGGAAGCAUGGUUGGCGGUUUAUGACUAACCCUAAUUUUCUUUGCGCAAGAGUAAUGAAAGGCCGGUACUUUUCGGGCACAGAUUUCUUGCAUGCUUCUGUUCCAAAGUCAGCGUCAGCGACUUGGCGAGCCAUCAUUGCUGGCAGGGAAGCACUGCAAGCGGGCCUUAUCAAGAGAGUUGGAGAUGGGAGAUCCAUUGAUGUAUGGCAGGACAAGUGGAUUCCA